AGGAGCCAUGAGGGUAAAGUGCAUCAGGAGGGGACACAGAUCAUCAUACUUAACAGUCAGUAUCAGUGGAAACUGACUGAAACAGAGGCCGUCAUCCUGUGCACUGCUGCGUGGACCUGAACUUAAAACACCGCAUCAGUACGACAGCACGUGCAUUCAUUGAAAACAGACUAACCUCCAGUCGUGAGGGUAGCCAUGACGACCACGGAGGCCGAUAGCAGGGCGUAUAAUCGGAACAUCAAGGCCCGACAGUCGUCUGACAACUCAAGCUCUGCUGGCAAUCACGAUAAGGUGGUGGAAGAAGAUGCGAGGCAGUGGGAAAGAUGUACUGAGAAGAUCAAAAUAAAAGUCAUGGAGCAGGUUCAGGAUCAGCUCAAGGAAAUUCUAGACAGAGUUCUGAC